rnacentral:rRNA from 1 species
GAUGAACGCUGGCGGCGUGCCUAAUACAUACAAGUCGAACGGCAGCACGGGUGCUUGCACCUGGUGGCGAGUGGCGAACGGGUGAGUAAUACAUCGGAACGUACCUUAUCGUGGGGGAUAACGCAGCGAAAGCUGUGCUAAUACCGCAUACGCCCUGAGGGGGAAAGCGGGGGAUCGAAAGACCUCGCGCGAUUAGAGCGGCCGAUGCCUGAUUAGCUGUUUGGUGGGGUAAAAGCCCACCAAGGCGACGAUCAGUAGCUGGUCUGAGAGGACGAUCAGCCACACUGGGACUGAGACACGGCCCAGACUCCUACGGGAGGCAGCAGUGGGGAAUUUUGGACAAUGGGGGCAACCCUGAUCCAGCAAUGCCGCGUGAGUGAGGAAGGCCUUCGGGUCGUAAAGCUCUUUUGUCAGGGAAGAAACACCGGCUCUAACACAGUCCGGGAAUGACGGUACCUGAAGAAUAAGCACCGGCUAACUACGUGCCAGCAGCCGCCGUAA